rnacentral:lncRNA from 1 species
CUUCUUUAAUGACACUUUCUGCCCCUUGACAAUCCCUUGAACUAUAAGACAAUUCUGGGUUUGAUCAAGGGCUUCUCCUUCCAUUAGUGUCCAUUAAGAUCAUCAUCUGCCACAUAUCCAUUUAGAGAAAUUGGUCUGUCCAUGUAAAGUCUUUGAAUAUUGGUCUAGUACCAGGAAGUUCUGGUUCAUUGGUACCGUUGUUGUUAUGGUGUUGAAAUCACCUUCAACUCUUGUAAUCCUUUCUCAAAAUCUACCAACAAGAGGUCCGUUUUCAGUUCACUGGUUUGCCACUAGCAUUCACUUCUGUAAUUGACAUGCUCUAGCUAUGUCUCUCAGGAAAUAUCUACAUCCAGGUCCUGGUACAAUGCACUUCUUAGCUUCAUCAAUCUUAUUUAAUUUGGUGGCUGUUAUAUAUACUUUUGGUGACUCCUACAAUUAUGAAGUUAGGUGGAAUUUUAACAUGGAUUCUGCGCAAAUAGGUCAAGAAGGUAGAAUCCACAAAUGGCAUUGCCAAGUAGACUCUCUCCUGUUCUUAUGAACCUAUUGAAGUUGAGGUUUCACUGGUCCAGAAGCCAUUCUUCUUUGUGAUCAUCCUCCUCUACCUUCUGCUUGGCCUUAAGAAAGAAACAUGGUAAAACAUCCUAAACAAUUAAAUCUGGGCCUGAGACACUAGAAUGUAGAUAUUUUUGCAGAUGAUAUCAAAAGUGACUAGAAAAGAAAAUUCUAUGCUCCAUAUGGUCCUUUUUUAACUGAUAUCUGGAAAUUUUGGAUAAAAUAUAAUUUUGGAGUUUAUCGUUUGAUGUCGCUACACCAUAUUUACACUGUUAUACUCAGUCUAUUGCUGUGCGCCUUUGUUGAGAAAUCAUUGCAAAAAAUGAGUUAGAAAUUAGAAUGUUUGAGUACACAUUCAGGAACAUUUAUAAAAUCACCUAUCAAGGAAUAUACAGUAAGAAGUGAAAUACAGUAUUCAUUAAAACUAAAGGUCUGUAGGGAAAAUACUGGCCUUUGUGAUACAGAGAAAUCCUAGAAUUUGAACUGUAUUUCACAGUAAUGUACCUAGGAAUAAAAUAUUAUCUAGAAGAAUCUCCUACACUCCAUGUUCCUAAAUCUUUUCUACCCAUGCCAGGUCCCUGACCAAAUUUCACCAUUUAGAGCAUGUAACCACUAAUGAAGCAAAGAUAAGUUUGUAGAUUUAGAG